rnacentral:rRNA from 1 species
GAUGAACGCUGGCGGCGUGCUUAACACAUGCAAGUCGAACGGUGAACGAGGGAGCUUGCUCCCUCCGGAUCAGUGGCGAACGGGUGAGUAACACGUGAGCAAUCUGCCCUGGACUCUGGGAUAAGCGUUGGAAACGACGUCUAAUACCGGAUACGAGGCGUGGGGGCAGCGCCAACGCCUGGAAAGAACUUCGGCCCAGGAUGGGCUCGCGGCCUAUCAGCUAGUUGGUGAGGUAACGGCUCACCAAGGCGACGACGGGUAGCCGGCCUGAGAGGGUGACCGGCCACACUGGGACUGGGACACGGCCCAGACUCCUACGGGAGGCAGCAGUGGGGAAUAUUGCACAAUGGGCGCAAGCCUGAUGCAGCAACGCCGCGUGAGGGACGACGGCCUUCGGGUUGUAAACCUCUUUUAGCAGGGAAGAAGCGAAAGUGACGGUACCUGCAGAAAAAGCACCGGCUAACUACGUGCCAGCCGCCGCAGUAAGAC